AGCUCACCUCCUCCCCCACCGCCACCUCACCCCGCGCCCCCGCCAGUCCCCCCGCCGCCCUCGCCACCAGCCGGCCACAUCGCCUCACUUAAUGUAGCGGAGAAUGAGAUAAAACUUCGGAAACUCGUUUGAGAACAGAGUCCCAUUUUUAAGGAAGGCGCGCUCCUACAAUACACAUAUUUUGUUUUCGACUCUCAUUCUUACUUUCUGUUUUAUACUAAAUUUUUAUACUUAGGGCAUGCGGAAGUGCCAGUGUGGUAAAAUUACGUCAGCGCGCUAGUUUUUACUAAUACCUACCUACUUGGCAAUUUAAUAUUUCCGUGUUUGCAAUAUACUCAAGUUGCGAUAUAGCAUUUUGGAUAUUACUUAAUUUCUUAACUAUAAAUUUAUUUUCAUUUUAUGAAUGUAUAAAACAAUACCAACUAUAUAAAAAAAAUUAAACGUGAAUUCUUUUUUCCUGACAUUUAAAGACACUAGACACUACAUAUGACGAUUGUUUUAUUUUUAAUUCUACAAUAAAGGUAAUUGUUCAUAGAGUAUUCUUUUUUUGAAUCGGUAUCCAGGAAACGACUGCACGUCUACAGACGUGGUAAUUGGUUUCCUGAUACAGAGUAUGAUAAUAUUGACAGAACGAGAGACUGGUUUUCAGUGUGUGAUAUUAAAAAUAACCAUUUAGUAUGACUCCCUGGCCCUCUUCCCACUACCGGUUCGUACAGAAAUAUUCGGCAGCCAAGGCGGAAGUGGCCUCGGAAUCUUUACCUGUUGCUCCCUUCGCCCGCGGACGCUCCUAUUGUGUUCUCUUUUUCUCUCAUCAAAACACACAUAUGAUUGAGCGUGACGGAGUACGAGUCGUGUGUUGUGGGUUCAUAAAGAGUAAUUUGUAAAAUAAAACUUAAUGUCGUUUCUUAGUUCGUAUACUUUCAUCGUGACCGUGACCGCAGAACUCACCGCAAUUCCCUUCGUCCAAUUUGAUAAUAAAAAUAUUUAUAUUCCUUGUAUCGUCCGUGUGCUGAUUGUAAUAUGUUGAAUAUUUAAAAUAUAAAUUAAAUGUUUUAUGAAUUA